rnacentral:rRNA from 1 species
GACGAACGCUGGCGGCGUGCUUAACACAUGCAAGUCGAGCGGUAAGGCCCUUUCGGGGGUACGACGAGCGGCGAACGGGUAGGAGUAACACGUGGGUGGACCUCGCCCUCCAGCUCUGGGAGUAAGCCUGGGAAACGUAGGGUCGUAAUACCGGAUAUGACUCCAUGACGCAUGUUGUGGGGUGGAAAGCCUUGUGCGGCUGAGGAGUGGGCCCGGCCGGCCUAUCAGCUUGUUGGU